UACGUAGGCAGCAAGCGUUGUUCGGAGUUACUGGGCGUAAAGAGUGCGUAGGUGGUUCUGUAUGUCUACCGUGAAAGCGUACGGCUCAACCGUAUUUUGUCGGUGGAAACUGCAGGACUUGAGGCUGGGAGGGGCUGGUGGAAUUCCCUGUGUAGCGGUGAAAUGCGUAGAGAUGGGGGAGAACACUCGUGGCGAAGGCGGCCAGCUAGACCAGUUCUGACACUGAGGCGCGACAGCGUGGGGAGCAAACAGG
rnacentral:rRNA from 1 species